UUAAAAUCAAAUAACAUUUAAAGAUAGAGUAGACACAUACGUAUUAAGUUUGUUCCGGUAUACAUGGGAAUAUUUUUAUGAAAAAGUACAUAAUUGAAAAUGUAUUUUCUGUACCUGGUAAUAGUAACAGCAAUUGUAUAUGGCCUACCUACCAAUGAUGACAACCACGAAAGCCUCAAGUUUGUCCAGGAGCAUGCAAAGCCGCCAGUAAAUAAUGUUUUGGAGAGUAUACUUAUUGAUCGAAUGGAAAACUGGAGUGGAGAGUGUUCAGGAUUUGGUAUUCCUUGUUUAAUGGAUUCACAGUGUUGCAGUGAAAAUUGUGAAAACACACAUCGUGAAUUUUUCUACUGUAUGUCACCUAAGGAAUGACUUUUCUUAAACAGACUUUGAUUUAUUUCCAAGUUCAAUAUAUAUUGUUUGUUUAUAAUUUGUAUUAAGAAAUUGUAUGCAUGUAUGUAUAUCCCGGGAAGUUUUAAAGUACUAGUACAAAAGGCAGAUAACAAAAAAAAAAAAAAACAGUAUCACCCCAAUAUGCAUUCAUGAACAAUUUCAUCUUGUUUUUUUUCUAAAAUUGAUGAGAUAUACUUGAUGUUUCAUUAGAAAAACCAUUGACAACAAUUUUGUUGAAUAAGACAUGAAUCUGUGUUUAAUUGUCAGGGUAGCUUGUGGUCAGUCCAAAUGCAAAAAACUAUAUAAACAGUUAAAUAUAUUAUUAAGUACUAUCAUAACGGGUCUAAAAGGCACAAAUAAGGACUAUGGACUAUGUCCAUGGUUCUUAGUGAUUUUAUUCACGUUGCAUGCAAUAAUAAUACACAUUACAUAGACAGCACGUAACAAAAUAAAACACAACUAUAGGCUAUAAAUCAGUUAUCAUCCCUAACUAUAUUUCUAAAUCUAAUAUUCAAAUGAAAACCCAAAGUCUCAUUAUGAAGUGUUAUAGAGUAAAAUAAAUUUUAUUGUUCCAUCAUAUUUAUAAAAAUGCAAUAUUAUGCGAUGUCAGCAAAAUUAAAUAUAAACACUCUAGAGUUAAAAAUUUGUCAAGACAUAUUCCUUAACAUACACGUGGUAAAUAGGUCAUGCUUGGAACCAUCUGUAGUUACAAUGAAAGGUACCAGUAUACUGCCUACUGGAAAUAAACUCAUCAUAGAUACAAGAAUUGAAAUUUUGUACGCCAAACGCGCAAUUUUCAUAACCCGAAUAAAAUAAAUAUUACAUCACUCUUACAUAAAUUAAAACAUAAUACACUCAAUAAAAUAUCUACCAGU